GGAUAUGGAAGUUUAUGAUACAACUCCUUUCUUCCACAACAUUGGUCGAGGGCUGGCUGGCAAGUGCAUGGUGAUGUUAGAUAACAAAACUUGGCUGCAAGCCCACAGAUACUUCUUGUUCAAUUAUGACAACAUAGAACCAUACCUAGACAAACAUAUGGAUUACCUUUAUUCUAUUGGUGUUCGAAGUCAUCGAGAAGUCAAGCGUGUGCAUUACGAGACCUUUCAUGAGUGGUUUAAAUUGCACGUGGCAGAAAUGGGCGAUGAAGCACCUCAUGAGAUAAAAAUAUUAGCUAAAGAGCCAAACUUGGUUGCUAUGAAGUAUAGUAGCUACACUAUAAAUGGGAUAGACUUUCAUACACAAUCAUAUGAUGAGGGUCGGUCAUUUCAGAGUAGUGGAGUAGCUCUUGUUGCACAAACCACAUCCUUUGCAAAAGGAAAAGGUGACAAUAUU